GCCAAGUCACUUAUUGCCAAUGAUUAAGUUGGAUGAUAUGGAGAAACAUAAAUUUCUUUCUUUCUUUUUUUUUUUUGGAGUUCUAAAAGGAAGACUCUUUGAAGUCCCUGGCUUCUGGCACAGUGUUGUUGCUGGCUUGGUUAUAUUACUCUUGAUCAUUAUAAAAACUCUCCAUUAAAACUGAUAUAAUACUUAAGACAAACAUGCUGUAAUUAUUACAUGAAUAAAGAGCUUGUGUAGCAUAAACUGUUUUUGUAACAUCAACACAAAUUCUGUUGGAGCAGGCUAAUAAUUAGCCACCAAGGGCUAAUUAUACAUUCUAGUACCAACUAGAAUAUAUCUGGUUCCCUAACAUAUAUUGGAAAUUAAAUUUCAUCUUCAUUUUACUUUUUUUUUUUAAGGAAAGGACUCUUCGAUUUGAUUACUAGCAAACUCUUACUGUACAUGAAAUCCUGUUCAAGGUCUGAAAGCUCAAAUUAAUAAAUGAUUUUGUCAUCAUAAUCUAAAUGUCUAACAGUGGAACAUGAAUUUAACAGUGUGGAAGAAAAGUUGUCCUAAAACAUAAGACAUCUAUAUGUGCUGGGAUUUCAAUACUUUUUAUUUUUACUACUUGAAUGCUGCAUUUAUGCAUUGCUUUGCUUUGGUUUAUGGCUGUUAGUUUAGCAACUAAGGGCUGAAUGAACAGAUCCCUCACAGAUCAUCCAACCUCAUGACCAGGCAAGGGGAGCCUCAGCUGGAGCAGCCUAUUUCUGUUUCCUGGGUCUAGACUCAGAGCAGACAUUUAAAAGACAAUACAGCAGUAAAUCCUCUCCUACCUUGACUACAACUAAACCUGACAUUUGGGAAGUGAGGUAUAGUCAAUAGUUUGGGCUGUAAUAAUAAUUCAAUAAAUAUCAGUUUUGAUGUACCAGAAGUCAGAAAGCUACCUUGUACACCUUGCCAGUAACAGCCCAUGGUAUACCUGGUUGCAUUAGAAUCAGCUGGGGAGGGGGAAGGGAUGUCAGUGGGAAUAGUGCAGUGAGAACCUCCAGAAAAUCUGCUCCUCCAUAUAAACAAUGAGAACAUCGCCAAAGAUUGUAAAAAAAAAAUUGUCAAAACUUUUUCAGAACCCCAGAAAUUAGCCAAAAGCUUGCAACAACCUGAGAAGCAUUCAUUCACGAAAAGUGGCUGAAUCUCAGUAAGAA
rnacentral:lncRNA from 1 species